GUGGGGAAUAUUGGGCAAUGGGCGAAAGCCUGACCCAGCAACGCCGCGUGAAGGAAGAAGGUCUUCGGGUUGUAAACUUCUUUUAUGAGGGACGAAGGAAGUGACUGUACCUCAUGAAUAAGCCACGGCUAACUACGUGCCAGCAGCCGCGGUAAUACGUAGGUGGCAAGCGUUGUCCGGAUUUACUGGGUGUAAAGGGCGCGUAGGCGGACUGGCAAGUCAGAUGUGAAAUCCAUGAGCUCAACUCAUGAACUGCAUUUGAAACUGUUGGUCUUGAGUAUCGGAGAGGCAAGCGGAAUUCCUAGUGUAGCGGUGAAAUGCGUAGAUAUUAGGUGGAACACCAGUGGCGAAGGCGGCUUGCUGGACGACAACUGACGCUGAGGCGCGAAAGCGUGGGGAGCAAACAGGAUUAGAAACCCCUGUAGUCC
rnacentral:rRNA from 1 species